rnacentral:lncRNA from 1 species
AUGCACCUGUUUAGCCCGUGGCUUCCGUCUUUAUGCGUGCGUGUCGCCCCGCGAAACUGCACAACCCUGCAGAGGAACACACCGACACACACACACACAACGCACCCGGGGAGGAAACGGGUGCCUGUUUCACUGUUAUUAUUUGCUACAAAGCAAAACUGCAGCUGCGACCUUCUACUUUCUUUUUUAAGCCCUGCGAGGGGGUGUAAUAUGAAAUCCUCAACUGCGGUGGCACUUCUGGCCACCGAAAGCAACGUUUUAAACGCUCACUUCCUCCCUGUUCCCCCCAUCCUCCCUCUCUCUCUCUCUCUCUCUCUCUCUCUCUCUCUCUCUGUGUGUGUGUGUGUGUUUCCAACGCAAAGCUUCAUGCGCGUGUAUAUAUCUAUACAUAUAUAUGUACAGUAUAGAAAUAUACAUACUGUAUAUUUGGAACUAACCAAAAAAUCAUCAUCAUCAUCGAAAGCACCGUCAAGAGCUGGGAUCCCUCGCUUUUUAAAAAAAAAGCCCCCUCAUCGUCAUCGCCGCCAUCAUCAUUCAUCAUCAUCCACCAAACCCAAAAAAAAGAGGACCUCUUACCUCUCACAUUUCUUUUUUCAAAGGCAAAAUAAAAAGCAUUUUGUCUCCCCAGAUUUAAAUCCCUAGAUUCAUUGAGUCCAUAGCUGCCUUGAGAAAAAAAAAGUGGAGGUCAAAUUUGAGGUGGAGGGGAGUUCUUCAGAGAACAUACUUAGAUAAACCAGCAAAAACAAACCAAAAUCUUCUGAAGGUGACCUUGGACUUAACUGUAGAAAGACCAUCCCACCAGCUUCGAGACAUAAUACAAAAGACUGGAAAAGUAAUGCUGCCAUGCCAGUGAUCCAUGAAUGAGUCAUGAGUAGUAAAGCCACAGGGAAAAUAACUAUUUUGGCAUUCAAAUGUAAUAUUUCAUGAGCUUCUGCCGCCUUCAGAAGCCUGCCACUCUAAACCACAAAAGUUGGUUUCCUGACAACCUCCCCCACUGUCAUAGUUUCACUAAGUUCUGUCUUGCUUUCAGUCAACAUGGCAACACCAGGAUCAACUAAGC